rnacentral:lncRNA from 1 species
UAGUGCGCAAAAAACGCGAGAUAGAAAGUUGGCUAUAAACAAUGAAUUAAUUGGUGCUACUAUGACGAACCCAAGUCUUACGUAAAUCACCAGUGCGGGGUUGAAAGAGUCAAGUCGGGCCUCGGUAUGUUUAAGGAUCAAACAUAUGUUUACAACCCACUUUUGAUGUAUGAAUUAUGGGUUAUCUAAAUAAGUUGUUUUGAUGUAAACUUACUCAACUUAUCAAAUAAAUAUAUAAUGU